CUGAAAUAUCGGGCGAAUCCUAGUUCCCCAAUUUGAAUCGAUGUUUAAAUUCUGGGACUGCAGAAAUUCUCCACACUCAUAAGUCGUGCCAUUGUCGAUCGAUUGAAGAAAGUCAUAUUCCUCGCCGGUUGGAUUGGGGUUGUUGUAGCAGCCAGCCAUUGCCAGGUCGGCAAACAAUAAUAUUGUCUUCAGUUUGCUCUCAGCCACUGGUGAGUUUCUUUUGAGUGUUUAGUACAACUGUUUGUUAUUUUUUUUAUAUGAUUCUGGUUUGCGCCGCCCUUGGUUAAUAUGUUUCUCUAAGACACCUUGACUUAUGAUGAGGUCAAUUAACUAUACAUAAUCCGCUUAAUCCGGUUGUGUAGUCAAGAUGACAACCAUUACUACAAAUUAUAUGCAUCUAUGCAUGUUGUUGGAGGACAUUAUGAUCAUAUAUCGCAUUGAAACCACUGCCAUUCUACAUCAAUACAUGUCUGCUGGUUCUACCCGGCAAAGGCUUCGGGUUCUGGACCGUGCAUGGUGGCACAACGUACUCAGGAAGAUCCCAUUACAGAUGAAGAACUUGGAUCGCCUGGUACACUGGACUAACGUGGCUUGUGUUGCCAAUUUGCGAAUGGACCGUAACACAUUUGCUAGACUGUGUCGUAUACUUUCUGGUCGUGGUGGUCUCAAAAUAGGUAAAUGCCCAGGGAUAGAAGAACAGAUUGCUAUAUUUCUGUCCAUACUCGCCCAUCAUAAGAAAAACCGGGUUGUUAGCAAAAACUUUUGGCGGUCGGGGGGAACUGUAUCGCGUUGUGUACAUAACGUCCUAGCUGUUGUUCUUAGCCUCCAUUCUAUACUCCUUUCGAAGCCGACCCCAGUGCCAGAUGACUGCACCGAUCAUAGAUGGAGAUGGUUCAAGGGAUGUCUAGGUGCCCCUGACGGAACCUACAUUAAUGUUUUGGUUAGCAACGGGGACAAACGUAUGUAUAGGACCAGGAAGGGGGCAAAUAGCAACAAACACGCUUGCUGCCUAUGACCGUAACAUGCAGUUCAUUUAUGUGCUCCCUGGGUGGGAGGGGUCGACAGGUGAUUCUUGUGUACUAAGGGACGCGGUAUCCCGUGACGGUGGGCUGAAAGUGUCACAAGAUUAUUUGUGCAUCUUGUUUCAACACUAUGCCUCGCUAAGAAGAAACUCCGGAAUGCGUAUGUGGUAGCGGUAGAAUGCUGUUAAAGCGUGCAGGUGAGUCAGCUCUGAAUGCCGAUCGGUAUGAUUUGAAGUGUCUAGUCAAUGGGAAGCAUGCCAAAUCUUUCAAAUGGUUUGAUGAGGUGGCUGAUGGAGUUGUAACUAGCUCAACCGUUCAAGCUGAUCGCAUACAACUCGACAGACCAGUGAAACUACCAGAGUCGACUGACUCUUCAAUGAAGGAAGCCACUUGCGCAACCGUUCAAACUGAUCGCAUGCAACUCGACAGACCAGUGAAACUAGCAGAGUCGACUGAUUCUUCAAUGAAGGAAGCCACUUGCGCAUCUUGCGCCACCGGUCUUGAGGUGGUUAACAUCAAGACCAAUGUUCUUAUUGUGUUUACUGGGUUGUUGUUGGUCUUAUUUGGCUUUCUGAUGGGGAAGCUUGCAUAAACUACAUGAAGGUCAACGUAGCGUCAUUUUGUAUCCAAGCCCCCUAGCUCAAGUGGUUGAGGAGGGUGGCAAGGAUACUGCACCAUCCAGGAGGUCUUGAGUUCAAAUCCUGGAUGGCGCAACUUGGGAUUAAUUUCCCCUGUGGGCCUUUACAAGGCUGGUUGCCUUGGGGCUUGGCAAGCUGAUGGGCCUGGAACCCGUCUCGGGUGGCGGCUGUUCAAGGGCGUAGACCCGUCUCGGGUGGCGCCGUCUCAGAUGGCGACUGUUCACGGGCAUAGACCUGCCGGAGGUGCCCGGCUGGUUGGCGGCCUGUCUACGAACCACAAGGGGCUGGUUGGCGGCCUGUCUACGAACCAUGAGGGGCUGGGGAAGGGUUGGUUAGCUUGCCGAAUGUAUCUCGAACUCCUAAAUAUGUAUGUCCGGAGGAAAAAAAAACGUAGCGUCAUUUUGUAAAUCGUAACCCGGGGCUUUGCAAAUGAACCCUAACCAAUAUAUUUGUACGCAACGAUGUUUGUUUUCUUUUGACAAUGGCAUUAGAACCAUCGCUGUUUAGGAGAGAUUAAGGCACAAACUUUGCAGUUAAGCUUAGGUUCCAAGUAAUGUGUAUUAAAAUACUAUGCUCAAUGAAAUGCCUUCCUGCAAUAUCUCCCACCAUCAUUUAUUGGAUUGAUAAUUACAAAUCUGCUCAUGUAAGGGGGUUAGUUUGUCUUCAAUUGGGGAAUGCAACUUAUUGCCUAACAAAUUGUAAACCGU